AUACGUAGGGGGCGAGCGUUGACCGGAAUGACUGGGCGUAAAGGGCGUGUAGGCGGCGGUGUAAGUCUGGAGUGCAAGGCCCGCAUUCGAUGUGGGAAUUGCUUUGGAUACUGCAGUGCUAGAGUGCGGAAGAGGUAAGUGGAAUUCCCAGUGCAGAGGUGAAAUGCGUAGAGAUUGGGAGGAACACCAGUGGCGAAGGCGACUUACUGGGCCGUAACUGACGCUGAGGCGCGAAAGCGUGGGGAGCGAACAGGAUUAUAUACCCUGGUAGUCCACGCGGUAAACGAUGAAUGCUAGGUGUUGCGGGUAUCGACCCCUGCAGUGCCGGAGUAAACACAAUAAGCAUUCCGCCUGGGGAGUACGGCCGCAAGGUUGAAACUCAAAGGAAUUGACGGGG
rnacentral:rRNA from 1 species